UUAAAUUCAACAAAAAAUAUAUGGUGAAAAAUAUAUAAUAAAAUUUCUCUUUUGUAUCAGAAUAAUUGUCUUGUAUAAACUGGAAUUCUCUUUUUUUUUACUAUAUACUAAGGGGAUCCCUCCGACAAAAACGUUCACACAUAUGCACAUCUAAACAUAAACAUACAUACAUUUAUGUACAUACAUAAUUCAUACAUUUCUGUACACACAUGAUACACAUGAACAAAUUUUUGUAUUGCUUUCUUGUAUUACAUUAUCUAGCUUAAUAUCUAGCUUAAUUUUAAGAACUCAACAUUGUUUCUUCAUAUAAUCUAGUUUAGCAAUAUCAGUUUUAUAGGUACAGACUAUAAAAUUUUUAUAUAAAGCAAAUAUUGAUGCGACUUGGCAGCUUUGGACGCCCUUUUAAGAAAGGAUUUCCAGAUCUAUAAAGUGAGAGCAAUACAAAAAUCACUAUGUUGUCGGUAAUACAGAUAAGUCCAGCAUCCCCUUAAUAAUUAUGUAUGAACUGAGAAAAUGAAGAUUGAAAGGCAGAUUACACAAUAUUUUCAUCUUGUACGUGCCAUUAGAAUAAGAAUAGAGAUUGAAGGAAAAUUCCAAAAUAAAAGGAUAAAUCAAUCCGACCGUUCGAAAAAAGAAAGUUUCUCAUCAAAUUUCUGUAAAAUGAUGAUGCUUGGAAUACCUUGCUUACGUUCUAUGCGAUUAUCGAUGCGCAUUUUAAACUUAUUACGCAGACCAACUUGUCCAACUUUAUUUCUACAAAAGAAUUCUUUUCUUUUUAUUUUAUCGAAAGACGAAUAUCAUCAGUUGUUGAUACUGUUUUUAUUUUAGGUAUCGUUAAUGACAAUGUUAAUUCAAGGAUGUUAAUUCAAGGAAAAACAAGAUGGAUAUAAUAAUCAAGACUGUUCCGUUUUUACAAGUAAUACAGUAAAUAUGAUGUCGCAACAAUACACUGCCACAACUGUUCCAUAUAAUUACUGUGCUACUGCCAGCUGUAGCAUCGUAUAUCGGAACAGAUUUUUCUGUAUAAUAUGGUGAUGCGCGCAGUUAGAAAAAAGCUCAAGCUGUAAGUUUGCACGAUUGCAAUAAAAAUAAUGAACGAGAUAAUUCAACUGAGAGAGACGAGUUAUUAGAAUUACAUAACUCUACAACAAUUAUCGAUUACAUAUAAUAAGUUAUAUUGUAUAUCAUUAUUUGCGGAAUUUAAAAACCAUUUUUGAUACAAAAA